UACGUAGGGGGGCAAGCGUUGUCCGGAAUUAUUGGGCGUAAAGCGCGCGCAGGCGGUGAUGUAAGUUGGGUGUUUAAACCUAGGGCUCAACCUUGGGGUCGCAUCCAAAAACUGCAUGACUUGAGUACAGAAGAGGAAAGUGGAAUUCCACGUGUAGCGGUGAAAUGCGUAGAUAUGUGGAGGAACACCAGUGGCGAAGGCGGGCUACUGGGCCGAUACUGACGCUGAUGCGCGAAAGCCAGGGGAGCGAACGGG
rnacentral:rRNA from 1 species